GUGCUCCCCUAGGCGGCACAUACACUAAAAUUGGAAGGAUACACAGAAGAUUAGCGUGGCCCCUGCACAAGGAUGACAUGCAAAUUUGUGAAGUGUCCAUAUUAAAA